rnacentral:lncRNA from 1 species
CUCUCUGCGCAAGCUAUGAAUAACUUACACAUGUUCUUGCAGGCGAAUUCGCACUCCUCCACACUUUCGUAAUUGUUGUCGUUGCCACCGCAUCCUCCGUAGACGAAUGUCUCA